GAUGAACGCUGGCGGCGUGCCUAACACAUGCAAGUCGAGCGAUUCUCUUCGGAGAAGAGCGGCGGACGGGUGAGUAACGCGUGGGUAACCUGCCCUGUACACACGGAUAACAUACCGAAAGGUAUGCUAAUACGAGAUAAUAUACUUUUAUCGCAUGCUAGAAGUAUCAAAGCUCCGGCGGUACAGGAUGGACCCGCGUCUGAUUAGCUAGUUGGUAAGGUAACGGCUUACCAAGGCGACGAUCAGUAGCCGACCUGAGAGGGUGAUCGGCCACAUUGGAACUGAGACACGGUGCAAACUCCUACGGGAGGCAGCAGUGGGGAAUAUUGCACAAUGGGCGAAAGCCUGAUGCAGCAACGCCGCGUGAGCGAUGAAGGCCUUCGGGUCGUAAAGCUCUGUCCUCAAGGAAGAUAAUGACGGUACUUGAGGAGGAAGCCCCGGCUAACUACGUGCCAGCCGCCGCUGUAACAC
rnacentral:rRNA from 1 species